rnacentral:rRNA from 1 species
GAUGAACGCUGGCGGCGUGCCUAAUACAUGCAAGUCGAGCGAACGGACGAGAAGCUUGCUUCCCUGAUGUUGGCGGCGGACGGGUGAGUAACACGUGGAUAACCUACCUAUAAGACUGGGAUAACUUCGGGAAACCGGAGCUAAUACCGGAUGAUAUUUUGAACCGCAUGGUUCAAAAGUGAAAGACGGUCUUGCUGUCACUUGUAGAUGGAUCCGCGCUGCAUUAGCUAGUUGGUAAGGUAACGGCUUACCAAGGCAACGAUGCAUAGCCGACCUGAGAGGGUGAUCGGCCACACUGGAACUGAGACACGGUCCAGACUCCUACGGGAGGCAGCAGUAGGGAAUCUUCCGCAAAGGGCGAAAGCCUGGCGGAGCAACGCCGCGUGAGUGAUGAAGGUCUUCGGAUCGUAAAACUCUGUUAUUAGGGAAGAACAUAUGUGUAAGUAACUGUGCACAUCUUGACGGUACCUAAUCAGAAAGCCACGGCUAACUACGUG